rnacentral:rRNA from 1 species
CACCGAAUUAAUCGUUGGUGUGCGGGGGAUACUGCUCGGCUAGGGGACGAGAGAGGCCGACGGUAUUUUCGGGGUAGGGGUGAAAUCCUAUAAUCCCGGGAAGACCACCAGUGGCGAAGGCUGUCGGCUAGAACGCGCCCGACGGUGAGGGAUGAAAGCUGGGGGAGCGAACCGGAUUAGAUACCCGGGUAGUCCCAGCUGUAAACGAUGCAGGCUAGGUGUUUGGGCGGCCACGUGCCGCUCUAGUGCCGCAGGGAAGCUGUUAAGCCUGCCGCCUGGGGAGUACGGUCGCAAGGCUGAAACUUAAAGGAAUUGGCGGGGGAGCACCACAAGGGGUGAAGCUUGCGGUUUAAUUGGAGUCAACGCCGGAAAUCUCACCGGGAGCGACAGCAGUUUGAAGGCCAGAUUAAAGGUCUUGCUAGACGAGCUGAGAGGAGGUGCAUGGCCGUCGCCAGUUCGUGCCGUGAGGUGUCCUGUUAAGUCAGGCAACGAUCGAGACCCGCGUCCUCUGUUGCUACUGGCCUUGUGCUAGGCACACUGAGGAGACCGCCACUGAUAAAGUGGAGGAAGGAGCGGGCCACGGCAGGUCAGUAUGCCCCGAAUCUCCCGGGCCACACGCGAGCUGCAAUGGCAGGUACAAUGGGUUCCGACCUCGAAAGGGGGAGGCAAUCUCGAAAGCCUGCCGUAGUUGGGAUCGAAGGUUGAAACCCAC